GUCCAGACUCCUACGGGAGGCAGCAGUGGGGAAUAUUGCGCAAUGGGGGAAACCCUGACGCAGCAACGCCGCGUGAGUGAGGAAGUAUCUCGGUAUGUAAAGCUCUAUCAGCGGGGAAGAAAGAGGACGGUACCCGACUAAGAAGCCCCGGCUAACUCCGUGCCAGCAGCCGCGGUAAUACGGAGGGUGCAAGCGUUACUCGGAAUCACUGGGCGUAAAGAGCGCGUAGGCGGGAUAGCAAGUCAGAUGUGAAAUCCUAUGGCUUAACCAUAGAACUGCAUUUGAAACUGCUAUUCUAGAGUAUGGGAGAGGUAGGUGGAAUUCUUGGUGUAGGGGUAAAAUCCGUAGAGAUCAAGAGGAAUACUCAUUGCGAAGGCGACCUGCUAGAACAUAACCGACGCUGAUGCGCGAAAGCGUGGGGAGCAAACAGGAUUAGAUACCCGAGUAC
rnacentral:rRNA from 1 species